CGGUAGGCUUAACACAUGCAAGUCGUGCGAGAAAGUACCUUCGGGUGCGAGUAGAGCGGCGGACGGGUGAGUAACGCGUAGGAAUCUACCUAGUAGAAGGGGAUAGCCCGAGGAAACUCGGAUUAAUACCGUAUACCUCCUUAGGGAGAAAGAGGGCUUAGCUUUGAUGCUCUCGCUAUUAGAUGAGCCUGCGUAAGAUUAGCUUGUUGGUGAGGUAAUGGCUCACCAAGGCGACGAUCUUUAGCUGGUCUGAGAGGACGAUCAGCCACAUUGGGACUGAGACACGGCCCAGACUCCUACGGGAGGCAGCAGUGGGGAAUAUUGGACAAUGGGCGCAAGCCUGAUCCAGCCAUACCGCGUGUGUGAAGAAGGCUUUCGGGUUGUAAAGCACUUUAAGUAAGGAGAAAAAGAUUGCAGUUAAUACCUGCUAUCCGUGAUGUUACUUACAGAAUAAGGACCGG
rnacentral:rRNA from 1 species